UACGUAGGGGGCAAGCGUUAUCCGGAUUUACUGGGUGUAAAGGGGGCGCAGACGGCGAUGCAAGCCAGGAGUGAAAGCCCGGGGCCCAACCCCGGGACUGCAUUGGGAACUGCCCUGCUGGAGUGCCGGAGGGGCAGGCGGAAUUCCUAGUGUAGCGGUGAAAUGCGUAGAUAUUAGGAGGAACACCAGUGGCGAAGGCGGCCUGCUGGACGGUGACUGACGCUGAGGCUCGAAAGCGUGGGGAGCAAACAGG
rnacentral:rRNA from 1 species